rnacentral:rRNA from 1 species
GACGAACGCUGGCGGCGUGCCUAAUACAUGCAAGUAGGACGCAGUUGCGAACGGGGGAGUAACGCGUAGGUAACUACCUAUUAGAGGGGGAUAACAAUUGGAAACGAUAGCUAAUACCGCAUACUAGUUGAUGGACCUGCGUUGUAUUAGCUAGUAGGUAGGGUAAUGGCCUACCAAGGCAACGAUGCAUAGCCGACCUGGGAGGGUGAUCGGCCACACUGGGACUGAGACACGGCCCAGACUCCGACGGGAGGCAGCAGUAGGGAAUCUUCGGCAAUGGGGGAACGCUGGCCGGGCAAAGGCGCCGGGGGGGAGGAAGGUUUCGGAACGUAAAAAUCUGUUUAUUAGGGAACGGUACUUAACCAGAAAGGGACGGCUAACUACGUGCCAGCAGCCGCGGUAAUUC